rnacentral:rRNA from 1 species
GAUAGCUUGCUAUUUUUAUGAAGAGCGGCGAACGGGUGAGUAACGCGUGGGAAAUCUGCCGAGUAGCGGGGGACAACGUUUGGAAACGAACGCUAAUACCGCAUAACAAUGAGAAUCGCAUGAUUCUUAUUUAAAAGAAGCAAUUGCUUCACUACUUGAUGAUCCCGCGUUGUAUUAGCUAGUUGGUAGUGUAAAGGACUACCAAGGCGAUGAUACAUAGCCGACCUGAGAGGGUGAUCGGCCACACUGGGACUGAGACACGGCCCAGACUCCUACGGGAGGCAGCAGUAGGGAAUCUUCGGCAAUGGGGGCAACCCUGACCGAGCAACGCCGCGUGAGUGAAGAAGGUUUUCGGAUCGUAAAACUCUGUUGUUAGAGAAGAACGUUAAGUAGAGUGGAAAAUUACUUAAGUGACGGUAUCUAACCAGAAAGGGACGGCUAACUACGUGCCAGCAGCCGCGGUAAUACGUAGGUCCCAAGCGUUGUCCGGAUUUAUUGGGCGUAAAGCGAGCGCAGGUGGUUUCUUAAGUCUGAUGUAAAAGGCAGUGGCUCAACCAUUGUGUGCAUUGGAAACUGGGAGACUUGAGUGCAGGAGAGGAGAGUGGAAUUCCAUGUGGU